UAAUACGUAGGGUGCGAGCGUUAAUCGGAAUUACUGGGCGUAAAGCGUGCGCAGGCGGCCUCUUAAGCCAGAUGUGAAAUCCCCGGGCUUAACCUGGGAACUGCGUUUGGAACUGGGAGGCUAGAGUGUGGCAGAGGGGGGUGGAAUUCCCGGUGUAGCAGUGAAAUGCGUAGAUAUCGGGAGGAACACCAAUGGCGAAGGCAGCCCCCUGGGCUAACACUGACGCUCAUGCACGAAAGCGUGGGGAGCAAACAGGAUUAGAUACCCUGGUAGUCCACGCCCUAAACGAUGUCAACUGGUUGUCGGGGAAGUAAUUCCUUGGUAACGAAGCUAACGCGUGAAGUUGACCGCCUGGGGAGUACGGCCGCAAGGUUAAAACUUAAAUGAAUUGACGG
rnacentral:rRNA from 1 species